rnacentral:rRNA from 1 species
CUCCGGUUGAUCCUGCCGGACCCGACUGCUAUCAGAGUGGGACUAAGCCAUGCGAGUCAACAUAGCAAUAUGUGGCAUACGGCUCAGUAACACGUAGUCAACAUGCCCAGGGGACGUGGAUAACCUCGGGAAACUGAGGAUAAACCGCGAUAAGUCACUACUUCUGGAAUGGGUAAUGACUCAAAUCUACAUGGCCCCUGGAUUGGACUGCGGCCGAUCAGGCUGUUGGUGAGGUAAUGGCCCACCAAACCUGUAACCGGUACGGGCUCUGAGAGGAGGAGCCCGGAGAUGGGCACUGAGACAAGGGCCCAGGCCCUAUGGGGCGCAGCAGGCGCGAAACCUCUGCAAUAGGCGAAAGCCUGACAGGGUUACUCUGAGUGAUUUCCGUUAAGGAGAUCUUUUGGCACCUCUAAAAAUGGUGCAGAAUAAGGGGUGGGCAAGUCUGGUGUCAGCCGCCGCGGUAAUACCAGCACCCCGAGUGGUCGGGACGUUUAUUGGGCCUAAAGCAUCCGUAGCCGGUUCUACAAGUCUUCCGUUAAAUCCACCUGCUUAACAGAUGGGCUGCGGAAGAUACUAUAGAGCUAGGAGGCGGGAGAGGCAAGCGGUACUCGAUGGGUAGGGGUAAAAUCCGUUGAUCCAUUGAAGACCACCAGUGGCGAAGGCGGCUUGCCAGAACGCGCUCGACGGUGAGGGAUGAAAGCUGGGGGAGCAAACCGGAUUAGAUACCCGGGUAGUCCCAGCUGUAAACGAUGCAGACUCGGUGAUGAGUUGGCUUCUUGCCAACUCAGUGCCGCAGGGAAGCCGUUAAGUUUGCCGCCUGGGGAGUACGGUCGCAAGACUGAAACUUAAAGGAAUUUGGCGGGGGAGCA